GAGAAUGACGAUCAAAUCGAAGUAUAAAACAUUGAAUGAGUAAAAUCCUCUUUCUAUUUCCUUUUCGUGUGCAAAAACAAUGUUGCACACAUUUCCAUUUCCUUGUUCCAUCCAUGCUUCCAUGGCGGCGUUGUCUUCCCAAUUGUUCCACAAUACCACGUCGCUUCAUCUCACUCGCCCAUCUCCCCCUUUCCCGUUUCCCCGCCGGCCGUUCAAUCCGCCGCUGCUCCGAUCAAUUCUCCCCGUGAACGCCGGCAACUNNNNN
rnacentral:lncRNA from 1 species